rnacentral:lncRNA from 1 species
AGAGAGAAAGCUCUCAAUUCGGGUGAAAAGUGAGGUAGUUGUAGAGUUUUUUUAGAACUAAAAAGUCCCACCUGAUUUUCAAAAUUUGGGGAAUUUGUCAUCAGGCCACUCUCCAUUUUCCCUUGUUUUACAAUUUGUUCCUUCCCUCCAACAUUUCGAAAAUAUGGUUUAUUUGCUAGAAAAACUCUUAUACAUUCCCUUUAUUUUUCAAAUUAGUCUCAUUUAGUUAAUAUUUUAAAUCACC